ACAGGAGGGCGACUGCAACCAGUGACUCACCCAUGUGCGAUAUGGGCCGUAAUAAUGCCAUAGACGGUUAAGUGCCAGGCCCCCACAGCCCGUCUGAUUCAUUGUAUUGCUCUUGAAGAAAAAGCAACAGAGAACAGAAGAAACAAUGUGCAAAGCAGGAUGAAGUCAUACUCCAAAUACGGUUUUCAACAGGCAAUCCACACCGUG